UACGUAGGGGCAAGCGUUGUCCGGAAUCACUGGGCGUAAAGCGCACGUAGGCGGCUUUUUAAGUCAGGGGUGAAAUCCUGGAGCUCAACUCCAGAACUGCCUUUGAUACUGAGAGCUUGAGUCCGGGAGAGGUGAGUGGAACUGCGAGUGUAGAGGUGAAAUUCGUAGAUAUUCGCAAGAACACCAGUGGCGAAGGCGGCUCACUGGCCCGGUACUGACGCUGAGGCACGAAAGCGUGGGGAGCAAACAGG
rnacentral:rRNA from 1 species